rnacentral:rRNA from 1 species
UACGUAGGGGGCAAGCGUUGUCCGGAUUUAUUGGGCGUAAAGAGCGUGUAGGCGGCCAGACAGGUCCGUUGUGAAAACUCGAGGCUCAACCUCGAGAUGUCGAUGGAAACCGUCUGGCUAGAGUCCGGAAGAGGAGUGUGGAAUUCCUGGUGUAGCGGUGAAAUGCGCAGAUAUCAGGAAGAACACCUAUGGCGAAGGCAGCACUCUGGGACGGUACUGACGCUGAGGAGCGAAAGCAUGGGGAGCGAACAGG